GCAGAGGAGCCAUUUCACUGGAGUACUGGAGGCAGCAGCCAGACUGCAGUGGACUGGCUUGAGACAUUUUGGCUGUGAAGAGGAAGAGAGAGAAGAAGCUAGAAGAAGGUUCUGUGUCAGAAGGUUUUCGAUGCAGGUCGUCAUCUGAAAAGGAGGUCCGGGCUUGGCUGGAGGAGAGUGGAAUGGCUAUGAAAUGGCUGCUUCAGGACUUUGAAGAGGAGCUGACCAGGGACUACAAGAGAGACACAGACAACUGAACAAAAGGAGUAGAAGCCAAAGGAGGAGACAGAAGGAGACAGAUGGCCCAUUGACAGAGGCAGAGAUUGAGUUACAGACCACCGGCAAGCCACCAUAAGAACCCUACGGACUUUGGAGAAAGCCUGAUCCUGCCAAUGCCUUGACUUUGGACUUCUAGCUUCCAAAACUGUGAGGCAAUAAA